GCGGAGGACACGUGGUGGGCGGAGGGAGGGCCCGGCCGCAGCGGAGCGUGUUGGGAGGCGAGGGGAGGAGCGGCGGAUGUCAGCAGGCCUGGCGGCGCCGGGACGCGCCGCGCCCACCUCCUCGCGCCGCUUCCGGCCGCCGCGCCCGCCCGGCCUGCGGCCCGCGGGGCCCCGAGCGCCCGGCCGGCCGGGCCCCGCCGAGCGCGCCCUGCGCCCCCGGGGCGCGCACUUGCUCGGGGCCGCCCGCCGCGCCCGGCUGCGCGAGAGCGCUCUGGAGGCCCGGCUGCGCGGAGGCGCGUCCCGCCGGCGGACCGGUGCCGCGGCCCCUCGGAGCGCGCGGGUCGUCGGGUGCCCGCCGGAUCCGGCGCGGAGCCCGGGGACCGCCCCUGAGCGAGCAGGGCUCUCCCUCCAGGUCGGAGGAGGCGUUGCUGGCGGCUCCGUGGCCCACGGACCGAGCGUCCAGGAAGCCCUUCCUCCUGAGAGAGUCUGGGCUGGGAUUCUCGUUGGCACCUUAAGAAAUGAUGACUUUGACACUUAGUAAAACAGACCAUCUGUGUCCACGUGAGCCUAAUGAUAGAUCAUCUGCAUGAUGAUGACCACAGAAGCAGAGAGAAAAAGGACCGCGCAGACCCUUGCCACCCACAGCCACCUAGAGGAAGAGGAGCCAGAGGGUUGCAGCACACGCGUCCUCAGGGGCUUGAGGAUCCGGUCUCUCUGGAGUUCCUCAAACUCUAUUGUGACCUGCCUUAAAAGUCUGUCUGAACAGAUCCGUACCUUGAGUUCAUAUCUUAAAAACAAUUCUUCUAAGUCCUCAGAGCCAUUGGAAAGUCUCACUUUGUAUAUGUAUCCACAAAUAUACAGUGAUGGAAAAUCCCCCGGACAACCGUAGCUGCUGCAUUUUAUAAGAAAACAGGAGGUUCUCCCUUGCUGGUUUUUUUCCUGGCCAAUUGUUUCCUUGAUGCUCACCCUUAAUUAACUUUCUGCUGGAAAGAACUAAAUGAAUGGAUAUCCAGUACUCAAAUGCAACCUGAUUACGAUUUACAUGUUUUCUAUUUUUAUACUUUGGUUACUUUCAUUUUCAUAGAAUUCUUUUAGAAAAUAAAAAUAAAAAUUACAGAGUCCAAAAGUCAUCGAUUUCUAAUGGUGAAAUUUCAGGUGCUUUGAUAAAAGACAUUGAACAGAAGCGCUCUGGGUGCCUUGCCACUCAUGCAUGAUCAGGAGCCCAGCCUGUUCGUGUGGAAGAGCAGUGCAUACCUUGGAAUACACGCACAACCCAUCGGCUCUGGAGUUCGGACGUGGGAAUGAGGGCUCCCACUGGCUGGAGGAUGCCAAUGAAAGCCAGCGUUGGCUUCUCCAGCUGAGGAGGGAAGACGAACUUAUACAUGGAGUGCUGGCUGUCCAGGAUUGCCAAGUCGUCCUCCAAGAAAGGGAAGGAGAAGGUGUAUCCUGUGGCAAAGAGGACGACGUCCACGUUCUCUUCAGUGCCAUCCUCAAAGAUGGCGGAUGUCUUGGUGAACUCCUUCACAUUUGGUUUCAUCAGCACUCUUCCUGUGAUUAUGCGAUUUGGCAGGUCAUCACUGAAAGUAGACUGAUGGCUGAGAAAUCUGCAUUACAGGGAGUGUAAUAUGAAAAAAAAAAGUGUGUAUGAAUUUUCUUUGUAAAGAAAUUGUGGUAAAUAAAUGCUCUUGAUUGCACAACA